GACGAACGCUGGCGGCGUGCCUAAUACAUGCAAGUCGAGCGAACAGACGAGGAGCUUGCUCCUCUGACGUUAGCGGCGGACGGGUGAGUAACACGUGGAUAACCUACCUAUAAGACUGGGAUAACCUCGGGAAACCGGAGCUAAUACCGGAUAAUAUAUUGAACCGCAUGGUUCAAUAGUGAAAGACGGUUUUGCUGUCACUUAUAGAUGGAUCCGCGCCGCAUUAGCUAGUUGGUAAGGUAACGGCUUACCAAGGCAACGAUGCGUAGCCGACCUGAGAGGGUGAUCGGCCGCACUGGAACUGGGACACGGUCCAGGCUCCUACGGGAGGCAGCAGUAGGGAAUCUUCCGCAGUGGGCGAAAGCCUGACGGAGCAACGCCGCGUGAGUGGUGGAGAUCUUCGGAUCGUAAAACUCUGUUAUUAGGGGAGAACAAAUGUGUAAGUAACUAAGCACGUCUUGACGGUACCUGAUCAGAAAGCCACGGCUAACUACGUG
rnacentral:rRNA from 1 species